rnacentral:lncRNA from 1 species
CGGUAAUGGUUGUCCCCAUGUCCGUCUCUGUGACUGUGCAUGAUCAUGUAAAUAAAACUGUGACUGCUGGGGAUCUUGAAUUCUGUUUUUGAAAGCUGAGAGGCGAAAUUGUUUUGAACGGGACUCCUGGGUUACGUGUUAGCUGCAGAAAAUUCUGGUAAUGAUCGAGCUUCGAGUUGUUAUACUUGGUUGAAUUUGGCAGGGACUAAAAAGGAUAAUAAAAAUAAUAUACCGUCAAUUGCUUGACUCAACAUUUUGGAUAAUUUAAAAGUUAC